UACUCCUACGGGAGGCAGCAGUGGGGAAUAUUGGACAAUGGGCGAAAGCCUGAUCCAGCCAUGCCGCGUGUGUGAAGAAGGUCUUCGGAUUGUAAAGCACUUUAAGUUGGGAGGAAGGGCAGUAAAUUAAUACUUUGCUGUUUUGACGUUACCGACAGAAUAAGCACCGGCUAACUCUGUGCCAGCAGCCGCGGUAAUA
rnacentral:rRNA from 1 species